UCAAAGCAUCCUUCUCUCUAAGCUGCUGAAGUAACUCUUCUCGUUCACGGAUCCAGGCACGUGAACGGUCUUCGUCUCUCAACUCCUCUACUCCUUGGUCAGGGAGGGUUGAAGGCCCAGCCAUAACCAAAGGUGUAGGUCUCGGAUACUCAUAAGGCAUAAGGUACUCGGAAGCUCUCCUCCUAACCCACGAGGUAUAGGGUUCCAAAGCAAUAUAGUUCCUCGGACCAAGCUCUUUCCUUCCCUUC
rnacentral:lncRNA from 1 species